UGGGGAAUAUUGGACAAUGGGCGCAAGCCUGAUCCAGCCAUGCCGCGUGUGUGAAGAAGGCCUUAGGGUUGUAAAGCACUUUCAGUGGGGAGGAAGGGUGUUGUGUUAAUAGCACAGCAUUUUGACGUUACCCACAGAAGAAGCACCGGCUAACUCCGUGCCAGCAGCCGCGGUAAUACGGAGGGUGCAAGCGUUAAUCGGAAUUACUGGGCGUAAAGCGCACGCAGGCGGCUUUUUAAGUCGGAUGUGAAAGCCCCGGGCUCAACCUGGGAAUUGCAUCUGAUACUGGGAAGCUAGAGUAUGUGAGAGGGGGGUAGAAUUCCAAGUGUAGCGGUGAAAUGCGUAGAGAUUUGGAGGAAUACCAGUGGCGAAGGCGGCCCCCUGGCACAAUACUGACGCUCAGGUGCGAAAGCGUGGGGAGCAAACAGG
rnacentral:rRNA from 1 species